AGUCGAACGGGAAGAGAUGAAGAGCUUGCUCUUUAUCGAAUCCAGUGGCAAACGGGUGAGUAACACGUAAACAACCUGCCUUCAGGAUGGGGACAACAGACGGAAACGACUGCUAAUACCGAAUACGUUCCACGGGCCGCAUGACCUGUGGAAGAAAGGGUAGCCUCUACCUGUAAGCUAUCGCCUGAAGAGGGGUUUGCGUCUGAUUAGGCAGUUGGUGAGGUAACGGCUCACCAAACCAACGAUCAGUAGCCGGUCUGAGAGGAUGAACGGCCACACUGGAACUGAGACACGGUCCAGACUCCUACGGGAGGCAGCAGUGGGGAAUCUUCCGCAAUGGACGAAAGUCUGACGGAGCAACGCCGCGUGAGUGAAGACGGCCCUCGGGUUGUAAAGCUCUGUGAUCCGGGACGAAAGAGCCUGAGGUAAAUAGCCUGAGGAAGUGACGGUACCGGAAAAGCAAGCCACGGCUAACUACGUGCCAGCAGCCGCGGUAAUACGUAGGUGGCAAGCGUUGUCCGGAAUUAUUGGGCGUAAAGCGCGCGCAGGCGGCUUACUAAGUCCAUCUUAAAAGUGCGGGGCUUAACCCCGUGAUGGGAUGGAAACUGGAAAGCUGGAGUAUCGGAGAGGAAAGUGGAAUUCCUAGUGUAGCGGUGAAAUGCGUAGAGAUUGGGAAGAACACCGGUGGCGAAGGCGACUUUCUGGACGAAAACUGACGCUGAGGCGCGAAAGCGUGGGGAGCAAACAGGAUUAGAUACCCUGGUAGUCCACGCCGUAAACGAUGGAUACUAGGUGUAGGAGGUAUCGACCCCUUCUGUGCCGGAGUUAACGCAAUAAGUAUCCCGCCUGGGAAGUACGAUC
rnacentral:rRNA from 1 species